rnacentral:rRNA from 1 species
UAGGGAAUCUUCGGCAAUGGACGAAAGUCUGACCGAGCAACGCCGCGUGAGUGAAGAAGGUUUUCGGAUCGUAAAACUCUGUUGUUAGAGAAGAACAAGGACGUUAGUAACUGAAAGUCACCUGACGGUAUCUAACCAGAAAGCCCCGGCUAACUACGUGCCAGCAGCCGCGGUAAUACGUAGGUGGCAAGCGUUGUCCGGAUUUAUUGGGCGUAAAGCGAGCGCAGGCGGUUUCUUAAGUCUGAUGUGAAAGCCCCCGGCUCAACCGGGGAGGGUCAUUGGAAACUGUGAGACUUGAGUGCAGAAGAGGAGAGUGGAAUUCCAUGUGUAGCGGUGAAAUGCGUAGAUAUAUGGAGGAACACCAGUGGCGAAGGCGGCUCUCUGGUCUGUAACUGACGCUGAGGCUCGAAAGCGUGGGGAGCAAACAGG